GUGAAGAGAACACAAGAAAUGAUUCAUCGGCUAUGGCGAUGUAAUAAUAACAUUAGAACGUGCCAGUAGUCGUAUCAGAGCUAUUGAAACAGUGCUUCGAACCGUUAGCCGUUUGGUGGUAGCGCCAUAAACGAAUAAGAGUAAAGAAGUAUCAUUAAUGGAUAAUGAUAUCGGAAUCUUUAAAUGGUGCGGCAAAAUGACGUUUUCUAGUUGUGAUACCACAGAUAAUGGUAUCAGAGUUGGCAAACAAUGCAGCUAUAAUAUCACUAAUGAACAUUAAAUUGAAAAAAAGCAUGAUCAAUUAUGCUUAGAACGAAGCUUCACAUGAAAACAAUUUUCAGUUUGUUAAGAUAAAAAUCAGUUUUAGGAAACCAGUCGGUAAGAAUAAAAUAAUAAUGACAAUAAUAGAUAAAGCUCAAUAUUCUCAACAAUUCUUAUUUAUAAGUACAUGUGUACUAAGCACUAUCGUGUAAGAAAAGUCUAAGAAUGGAUCGGAAAGAGAAAAGAUUGAUCGAUCAUCGGUCAGUGAGCAAAAAGACCAGCUUUGAUACACAAGGACGGUCAUCGCCACAGACGUUAUUCCUUCGUGACCCAGUUUGUGUUCGCCUCAUGACGCACAUUCCAAUUCACCGACGUUCAGAAACACUUCUUUUUCCUCAUUCAAUUCCCUUUCUUCAUCCUCUACAUUUCCUUCUAUGAGUCCUCGAUAGUUCACUAACAUUUCGCCAGAUGACGUCACUAGUAACUACCAUUUCUGUACAAACUUAAUCACAGGUUAACACCACUUAACGUCUUAACAGAUUCGCCGAUAAUUAUGUGAGAUCUUGAAAUACAAAAUCAUAGGAUUCUGUGAUUAAGACAAAGCUUAUUUUAGUCGUGGAAAAUUGUAGCAAUAUAGCAACAGUCAUAGCAGAUGAGGAAACGGAAUUCUCUUUUAAUUUGAUUUUUAUCAAGAUAUAUGUUUUGAAAAGCAUUCAAAGUAGUUUGUUGCAGAGAUAAAUACAAGGUCGAAGUCCUGACUGGGAAAACAGAAAUGUACUGUCAUCUGUUACGUGAACUAAUAAUAACUAUUAUUGUCGAUAUUGCGCAAUCGGAUCUGAUUAUUCUUUGUUGCGGUCGUUACUGAUAGUUUAAUUACAUCAAUAAUUUGACGGACGAUUAAUUUGGAGGAGGUAAGCGAUUUAGACCGUGUUGAUUUGUAAAAAUCUUUUAUUUCGAGAUUAGUAAUAGGAGAUUAUGAGGAUUAGAGGGGGAUUAGUGAAGGACUAAUUUAUCAAAGAAUUGGUUCAGGUAAAUUGAUCAAAAUAUAACUAUCUUUCUCACACGCCUAACAAAUCCUCCAUUAAAACAUGUGUUACGGACAUACGAGGUUAUCUUACAGUUCUUCCAGUUGACUUCGACAUCGCGAAAAUAAAGUGACUUACGAAGAUCUGUAAAUAAACGUGCAAUGUUAUGACGUAAUUGUAAUCGCGAUGGAUUCAUCAUCUUUUCUUUGCUCCCGCUUCACGUCAAUAUCAACAUUGUAUCAUCGAAUUCAGAUUCCGAGCAUCCAUCAUCAAUGUUCAUAUAUUGCUCAAGGAUGAUUUUGUUAAUCUCUAAGACGUUGCAGCAACACGAUUUUCAUGGUCAUUUAUUUUUGCACCCCAUUAGAUUUUAACUUUCUUGCACAAUUUAACUAAUGUUACUAAUGAAAUUUUACAAGCCUUAGGUUAAAAGUUACGAAUAUCAAUAAGUUAGUUUGCGUCAUAGCUACUUAUUUACAAAUUAUUUACAAAAUCUACAACCAACAAUUCGUAACUCGUCAAUUCACUACUAUUAUUAAUUGGUAAAUUAUCAUACAAGAGUCAUAUACAAAAUGUUGAUAUAACGGAAUAAAAUAGAGAAAUCCAGAAAUCUAAGAAAGUAGGAAUGUACUAAGUAGGUUGAAAAUUUUAUUGUCAUUUAAAAAUAAUUUACUACAUUUAAUUCUAUGAAUGGAAUUUUGUAAAUAUGGAAAUAGAAAGAGAAACUAACAAAAAAAUGACUUAUAUAAUGAAAUAGUUGUAUGGAAAUAAAUUUGUAUGUUAUACAACAUGAGAUGUCAUACAACAUGUAACGAAUAUCAACGCAACGCAUUAUGUCUGAUUAUGUAAUUAAUGCGAUCUUUUGAGGACAUUAUCAUCUGCGAAAAUUUUUAGCUUAUCUUUGUAUUAAUGAAUUUACGGGUCAGCGAAGCGCAGCAUAAUUAAGUCGACAUGAAAAUAAGACUAACAAACAUUGUUUUUCAUCAUACAAUGUAUUGUUUUAAUUUCUCGGCAUAAUUUCCUUAUGUUAUAUCGAUUUCAUUAAUUGAAUUACAAUCAAAGAUGUAAACACCGCUACAUUAAUUUUUCAUUUUUCAUUACCAGCUGAAUUAAUGAUUGAUAUAUUCUGUACACAAAUAAUUUAUAGAGACAAAUUUUGUGACAUUUUCAUGAAAGGUACGAAAAACAGAAGUGCGGAAAAUAUGGCAAUUAUCGACGUUGACCGUGACGAACCGGGAGAAAUGAUUAAUUGCUAUCUAAAAUUAAUUGAGUUUCUUUCUUUAUGGCAAUUACGUGAUUCAACAAUGAUCACUUUACGUAACGCCAUUUGUUAUAAUGAUGUUGUAGCGAUUACGUGCCUGUCCCAUGUCUACUCGCAGCAACUUAAGGUCAAGUUCAAAUAUUGACUAACAAUUAUCAUGAGAACUAUCGUCAGAUUAUUUAGUAUUUUAGUGAUUCUUUUGGUUCAUGGCAUACCUGGAAUCUUGCACAAUAAGUUAUUAAUUAUUAAUAUUAAUAAUUUUACAAGUUAUAAGUUAUAGACUCCUUUUUCACAAUUUCACAAUUUUAAGUCAAAUAUAAAUAUUAUCGUAGUU